rnacentral:rRNA from 1 species
UCUUCCCUCUUUCUUCGUGCUUAACACAUGCAAGUCGAACGGAAAGGCUCCUGCUUGCAGGGGUACUCGAGUGGCGAACGGGUGAGUAACACGUGGGUGAUCUGCCCUGCACUUCGGGAUAAGCCUGGGAAACUGGGUCUAAUACCGGAUAGGACCACAUUUUGGAUGGUGUGGUGGAAAGUUUUUCGGUGUGGGAUGAGCUCGCGGCCUAUCAGCUUGUUGGUGGGGUAAUGGCCUACCAAGGCGUCGACGGGUAGCCGGCCUGAGAGGGUGUACGGCCACAUUGGGACUGAGAUACGGCCCAGACUCCUACGGGAGGCAGCAGUGGGGAAUAUUGCACAAUGGGCGCAAGCCUGAUGCAGCGACGCCGCGUGGGGGAUGACGGCCUUCGGGUUGUAAACUCCUUUCGCUAGGGACGAAGCGCAAGUGACGGUACCUGGAGAAGAAGCACCGGCUAACUACGUG